CCUACGGGCGGCAGCAGUGAGGAAUAUUGGUCAAUGGACGAGAGUCUGAACCAGCCAAGUAGCGUGAAGGAUGACUGCCCUAUGGGUUGUAAACUUCUUUUAUAUGGGAAUAAAAUGUUCCACGUGUGGGAUUUUGUAUGUACCAUAUGAAUAAGGAUCGGCUAACUCCGUGCCAGCAGCCGCGGUAAUACGGAGGAUCCGAGCGUUAUCCGGAUUUAUUGGGUUUAAAGGGAGCGUAGGUGGAUUGUUAAGUCAGUUGUGAAAGUUUGCGGCUCAACCGUAAAAUUGCAGUUGAAACUGGCAGUCUUGAGUACAGGAGAGGUGGGCGGAAUUCGUGGUGUAGCGGUGAAAUGCUUAGAUAUCACGAAGAACUCCGAUUGCGAAGGCAGUUCACUGGACUGCAACUGACACUGAGGCUCGAAAGUGUGGGUAUCAAACAGGAUUAGAUACCCUAGUAGUC
rnacentral:rRNA from 1 species